rnacentral:rRNA from 1 species
AGAGCGAACGCUGGCGGCAUGCUUAACACAUGCAAGUCGCACGGUCAGGUUUCGGCCUGGUAGUGGCGGACGGGUGAGUAACGCGUAGGUAUCUAUCCGAAGGUGGGGGAUAACGGCGGGAAACUGCUGCUAAUACCGCAUAUGACCUGAGGGUCAAAGGUCGCAAGACCGCCUGUGGAGGAGCCUGCGUACGAUUAGCUUGUUGGUGGGGUAAAGGCCUACCAAGGCGACGAUCGUUAGCUGGUCUGAGAGGAUGAUCAGCCACAUUGGGACUGAGACACGGCCCAAACUCCUACGGGAGGCAGCAGUGGGGAAUAUUGGACAAUGGGGGCAACCCUGAUCCAGCAAUGCCGCGUGUGUGAAGAAGGUCUUCGGAUUGUAAAGCACUUUCGACGGGGACGAUGAUGACGGUACCCGUAUAAGAAGCCCGGCUAACUUCGUGCCAGCAGCCGC